CUCAGAACAGCAAUAGAGUUUGCUUCUGUAAACCAGGUUUUUAUUGUACUGGAAGAAACGAUUAUGAAACAUACUGCCAUAAACCAUGUGUUCCCUGUGGAAAAGGCACAUUCUCCAGCAAACCAUCUCUGGAAGACUGCAAUCCUCAUACAGAUUGUGCUCGGUUGGGAAUGAUAAUGCUCAAAGAGGGCACAGCGACACAGGACAGAGAGUGUAUGAAUGUCACAACAGUGAUGCCAGCCUCGUUCACUACCACCACUUUUAAUAGCACUUCCAUCCCCAUGACAGGGGUCACUGCACAACUCGUAGACACGGCAGAAGAAAUCCAGUCCCAUUGGUUGCUGCUAUUAAUCUUAAUGUUGAUAAUCUUGUUCAUGGCUGGAUUCUGUAUUCUGAUGAAAGACGUGGCAAAGAAAACCCUUUUUAAAUGGUUUGGUAUGAUAUAAAGACUAAAUGCAGUGGAUCUUUUGAAUACUUCAGAAUUGAAUAGGGCUAGAAAUGAACACAAAUAACACAACUCUGCAAUGAUGCUGUAUUUGUCAGCAGUAAUUGUUUUUGUAUUUUUCAAAAACGAAAUCUAAACCCAAGAAGCUCCUUUUGGAACCACAGCAUUGUAUUGUCAUGUCUAAAGUGCCGUGUAGUGGCUAUAAGUGGCCUGGAAUCCACCCAGAUCACUUCUUACAGUAAAGCGUAUUGCAUUGUCUCUCACGUGUUUUAAUUCCCAUAAGGUCAGAUUCAACAUAAACAUUCACGGUGUUUCAGAAUGACACGCAUUUAAUACAUCCAUAACAGCCUGAGAAACCACAGAACGCCUAAGCACGUAACAAACAGUUCACACAAUCACUGUUGCACCUACUUGAGCUGCUCACACCGUCUGACAUAUGCAGCAUAUUGACUUAUUUCUUGUUUUCAUUUUAGGUUUUAUAAACAGACAACAUGAAGAUUAUCAACCCUGGAGUCAAACUGCAGCUGACAAUAAAAUUUUGUCCAAUUCCCAAUCCCACACCUUGAAGACCAAAAUACCAGUCGGCAGUGGUGGCAGAGAGGUCAAAGGUCAGAGUACGGGGCCGAUGCCCCAAUCUGGGACUGUGCAGCAGGUCACAAUGGAGCACAAUGGGAAGGGUGAGAACGUCAGCAAUACUGUUGGGUCCAUCUACAUCUACUCUCCUGGAAUGGUGAUUUUGGGCUCCAACUCGAGUGAUAAAAAGGAAGAGGCAGGACUUUGCGAAGAAGGCGUUCCCCUCAUCAGCAGACCGCAGCAAGAGUCAAAUCCACCCUCGCAAGAGGUCAGAAUCAGAAUAAGCGCACAGGAAGAGGCUGAGGAGGAACUGAGCUUGAGUUUUCCUGUGCCGGCAACUGAAAAGUGAGAACUCGAACAUGUGGUUUCUUGCAUGAACUUCAGAAUGGCGUUCAGGAAGAUUCCAGGUUGAAUCACAAGGCUGAAAAGUCACAAGAUGCCAGAUUUCAGAUUCCUGGUAAAGCAUGGCAUCAGCAAUGCCCAAGUCAUGGUUUCAGUUCCAGAUAAACAUGCACGCUGACUAAAUGUACAGGCUACCUUGAUUGCACUGUAUGUCAAAUACCGAAUGCACAGAUGUACCAGAUGGAAAACUCUGAGUAAUGAUUUUAGCUUUUUUGCGCAUCAAGAAAAAGAUUUAUGCUUAAUUUAAGUUAGUCAGUUUUUAUAAAUGCACAUGUCUGAAUUGCUGCUGCAGCAAAACUGGGACAAAAACAAGCAUGAAGACUGUGCACAGGAGGUACAGACAAAAGAAGAAAAACACCCUCAAAGGUGUUAGGAGUUUUCAUAACGUGUGUCCUAUAAGAUAUAGGCAGUAUAAUUGAAACGCACAUGGUGUGUAUGAAUUGUUUUAUUGUUUAAGUGAGUGGUCGAGAACCUAACGACUACAUCUAUAUGUUUCUAAACAGACUUUUGCUCUACCGUGUGGGUGUUUCAUAUGCAUGUCUAAAAAAUACCCAACCUCACCUUCGGAAAGAAGUGUCUGAUUUGACUGUUGUAGGAGGUCGAGUCGGGACGGACUGCGUUGACCCUGCAACCUUUACAGAACAUGAUCAAAAUGACAUUUCUAGUGUUGCAGUAGAAGAUGCUUCAUACAUCUCAGUCACAUCCUCCAUUCACUUGAGCUUGUGUCAUUUUGCUUGUUUUUUUUGUUUUUUUGUAAAUUUGUCAAUGAAUGUGUUCUGAUGCUUUAUUAACAUGAAUUCAAUCAAAUCCAUUCCUUCAACAAUUACAGAAUCUCUCUCUCCCCCUCUAUCUUUCUAUCGUUCUAUCUACCAUUCUUUCAGUCAUUCUGUCUAUUGUUCUAUCAUUCUAUUUACUAUUCUUUCUAUCAGUCGUUCUUUCUGUCAUCCUGUCAUUCUUUCUAUCUAUCGUUCUGUCAUUCUUUCAAUCAUUCUGUCUAAUCCAGUGGUUCUCAACCCGCGGCCCGUCACGAAUUCAAAUGCGGCCCACGUGCUGAACACAAUUUUAAAAAAUUACUUUGUUUUACAAUUCAUUUUGGUUUUUACAUUAAUUUAAAAAUGUACUAAAUAAAUAUAAGCUAUAGCCUAAUGUUUUAUGUCAAAUAAUUUUGUUUUUCAUAUAUUAUUUUCAGACAUGAGCAGUACUCACAUAGUCUAAUUAACGUUACGAAUU
rnacentral:lncRNA from 1 species